GAUUCGAUUACAUCUAGAGGAGGUAUUGUAUUAGUUUCCAGUAUAAGCAGUAACACUUAUUUAGUUGCUGAAUUGUUGACAUAUUUUGGUUGUGAUAGCAGACAAUGUUUCUUGCUUUGACCAACAGAACCAAAUGGCAGUAAAUGACUUCUCAAAUUAUGUAAGCAGAACCAUUUCAUAGCUCUUAAGUUCUUAUAUAUUUUAAAUUUGCUUUUGUUAGUUUUUCUUUUCUUUUCUUAUCAGGCAACCUGUUAGGGUUGUAUGUUGGCUAAUAGCUUCUUUGCAUGCCUGUAAUACUGAAAGACUUUAUGCAUGUUGUGUAGAAGGCAGAAACUGAAAAGAUGGACUUUAAACUAAUUUUUAGACCUCCUUGGCAUUUAUG
rnacentral:lncRNA from 1 species